AUGUUCGGCGUGUUAACGCACACUGAAGCCUCAAGGAAUACCACGGCCCCGUGUGCUCCACCAAGCUUUGAGCUGGAGAGAGAUUUCGGCAGCCACAGAAUGCAGGUGAGCAUGGUGGCUGAAGGGAGGCCUCUUCUGCACUGUGAGCAAAGGAUACUGCUGGGUUUUUGGCACAAUGCACACUUCAGGACAAAGAUAAACCUCAGAGGGGGCUGGCAUGAGGGAGAUUUGGAUGACACCAUUCCUGAAGAGCAAUGACGCUGCGGAUGAAGAGCUGAAAGCUCUUCACAACCUUCACAAAAAAAAAAAACAAAAAACCUUCACAAAUGAAAAAAAAAAACAACAAACCUCAGUUACUGAGAACAGUAGUAUCCCCUUCUUCUACACAGCCAACAGUGGAAGAGGUUUUUAUCGGUUUAUUCUGAAUGUCAAUAUCCCAGUAGAAACAUCGCAAUAGAAACAGCCUUUUUUCAUAACAUGCAUACAAACAGAGGAAAAAUUUAGAACAAACAAAAAAAACAAACAAAAAGCAAAAAGAGGCCCCAAACCUCCUGUUCUGAAACGUUACUUUCAGCAGUUUGCUCCAAACCUGCAUACGCCCCUGUAGAUAAAGCAACUUUCUGCCCGUGGAUGAAAGCUUCAGAUGAAAUCUGUGUAAGCAACGAGUUAAAAAUCCAGCAUAUCUGGGGUUCAGAUAUCACUAACCACCUUUAGGGUAAUGUCUUGAAUUUUCUUCAUGUCAGUUUAUCAAUCAUUAAAAUGUUACCCCACAAGGGUAACCUUAAUGAGGAGCAGAUCUCUGCGAUGUCUAGAAACAAGUUGGCGAUGAGCGUGUUGGUUUGUACCAGAGUUCAAGUUUGUUCUUAAUAUCUGAGCUGUGCAUGAUUGUCUUGAGAGCUCAUUAGGCCUAAUUUCAUAGUCAGCAGAAAGCUGAAUCAGCUAAGGACUGGUUCAGGUCUUUGCACUAUGUAAGUGCCUUCACAGAAAUCAUUGCAAAUAUCCUGGCAUGAAAGGGAUGCACCUAAAAAGCUCUUCCCUCUUUAAACACCCUAAGGAAGAAGUUUAGUAUGUCAGCUCUGCAUUUCUUUUCAACUUAAAAGUAAUUCCAAGUUUACGUUAAAAUAUUUACUGCUUGUAUUCAUGGAUUGGGAUCUUUCCAUUCUAAUUGUAUAUACUUUUUAUUUUUAUUUAUUAUUAUGAUUUUUAGGUAGGUCUGAGACUGAUCUGACCUCAUAAGGUAAGAACUAAGAGAACAAACCAACUGAAAACUCAACACAUUUAAAAUGAAGUAGAUACUUGAAACACUUCUAGGGGAAAAGUCAAUGAAUGACAUUUUUUUCUGCAGAUACUACAAGUUUCUGCCAAGCUUUUCCUCUUGCCUUACCAGUACCAAGACUUAAAAUAAUUCAUGUUAUUGGUUUUAACAAGAAGUAGAGAUAAAUUAUUAAAUGAUCCCAAGUAUUCUACAAGCAUUAUGGUUUCAAACCAACAGCCCACAAGUCAUGCUCAGGGCUUCUUGUGACGAGUUAUUCUCCCCAAACAAGCAUGUGCUGCAAUCUUCCGUGAUGUGAGACCAAAUUAAUUGCUGCUGUUGUUCCUUGGAAACUAACAUUUCUCUAAUGAUCCAGUAUCUCAUUAGGCAGCACUAAAAUACUGUUUUUGCUAAAGAGCGGUUUGCCCACGGAGGACCUCCUUGGCACCUGAUUUGUUGCAAGCUGACAGCAGGCAUAGUACCUUAAAACAUCACAGAAUCAGAGCUGUUUUAUCUGUGUGCCUACCACAUCUAAGUGUGUAUUAUUUUUCAUGUCUAUGAAAACACCUAAGUAGAAUAUUGAUGUUCAGCAAUAACAGCAAAAUAAAUACAUUCAAGUCCAUUGGAAUAACUGGCUG
rnacentral:lncRNA from 1 species